rnacentral:lncRNA from 1 species
ACAGGGGAAGGUCAGAAGAGUUCAGAGAUAAGAGAAGAAACUUGUAAUAGCUUAGAGUGGACAUGUAAUAUUACAGAGAUAUGUUAAUUGUGUUUACAGGUAGAAUUGUGCUUGACAUAGUUGUGUUGUAAAUCUUUGGUUGUGUACAUGAUCUGUUUAUGUAUAUAUUUUGCUGAGUAUGUGAAAACCCAGGCUUAACAGGUAUGAGAUAACCUAUCUAGAGCCAGCUCUAGUCAGGGGUACAGACAGAGAUAGUGCAUGCACAGGUUAAGCCUUGGAUCAGGAAAAGAGUUUUUAUUUUCACAUAAAAUGUAUGAUCAUGUAUGAGAUUUACAGGUACAUAGAGCGUAUAACAGGCUUGCUACGGGUUC